rnacentral:rRNA from 1 species
GAUGAACGCUGGCGGCGUGCCUAAUACAUGCAAGUCGAGCGAACAGACGAGGAGCUUGCUCCUCUGACGUUAGCGGCGGACGGGUGAGUAACACGUGGAUAACCUACCUAUAAGACUGGGAUAACUUCGGGAAACCGGAGCUAAUACCGGAUAAUAUAUUGCACCGCAUGGUUCAAUAGUGAAAGACGGUUUUGCUGUCACUUAUAGAUGGAUCCGCGCCGCAUUAGCUAGUUGGUAAGGUAACGGCUUACCAAGGCAACGAUGCGUAGCCGACCUGAGAGGGUGAUCGGCCACACUGGAACUGAGCCACGGUCCAGACUCCUACGGGAGGCAGCAGUAGGGAAUCUUCCGCAAUGGGCGAAAGCCUGACGGAGCAACGCCGCGUGAGUGAUGAAGGUCUUCGGAUCGUAAAACUCUGUUAUUAGGGAAGAACAAAUGUGUAAGUAACUAUGCACGUCUUGACGGUACCUAAUCAGAAAGCCACGGCUAACUACGUG